rnacentral:rRNA from 1 species
UACAGAGGUCUCAAGCGUUUGUUCGGAUUCAUUGGGCGUAAAGGGUGCGUAGGUGGCGCGGUAAGUCGGGUGUGAAAUCUCGGAGCUUAACUCCGAAAUUGCAUUCGAUACUGCCGUGCUCGAGGACUGGAGAGGAGACUGGAAUUCAUGGUGUAGCAGUGAAAUGCGUAGAGAUCAUGAGGAAGACCAGUGGCGAAGGCGGGGUCUCUGGACAGUUCCUGACACUGAGGCACGAAGGCCAGGGGAGCAAACGGGG